GGUGCUUGCACCGAGAUUCAACAUCCCAUGAGUGGCGGACGGGUGAGUAACACGUGGGUAACCUGCCCUUAAGUGGGGGAUAACAUUUGGAAACAGAUGCUAAUACCGCAUAGAUCCAAGAACCGCAUGGUUCUUGGCUGAAAGAUGGCGUAAGCUAUCGCUUUUGGAUGGACCCGCGGCGUAUUAGCUAGUUGGUGAGGUAAUGGCUCACCAAGGCGAUGAUACGUAGCCGAACUGAGAGGUUGAUCGGCCACAUUGGGACUGAGACACGGCCCAAACUCCUACGGGAGGCAGCAGUAGGGAAUCUUCCACAAUGGACGCAAGUCUGAUGGAGCAACGCCGCGUGAGUGAAGAAGGCUUUCGGGUCGUAAAACUCUGUUGUUGGAGAAGAAUGGUCGGCAGAGUAACUGUUGUCGGCGUGACGGUAUCCAACCAGAAAGCCACGGCUAACUACGUGCCAGCAGCCGCGGUAAUACGUAGGUGGCAAGCGUUAUCCGGAUUUAUUGGGCGUAAAGCGAGCGCAGGCGGUUUUUUAAGUCUGAUGUGAAAGCCCUCGGCUUAACCGAGGAAGCGCAUCGGAAACUGGGAAACUUGAGUGCAGAAGAGGACAGUGGAACUCCAUGUGUAGCGGUGAAAUGCGUAGAUAUAUGGAAGAACACCAGUGGCGAAGGCGGCUGUCUGGUCUGUAACUGACGCUGAGGCUCGAAAGCAUGGGUAGCGAACAGGAUUAGAUACCCUGGUAGUCCAUGCCGUAAACGAUGAAUGC
rnacentral:rRNA from 1 species